rnacentral:tRNA from 1 species
GUGGCUGUAGUUCAGCAGCAGAACUCUUGCCUAGCAUGCAUGAGGCACUGAGUUCGAUCCUCAGCACCAUA